GACGAACGCUGGCGGCGUGCUUAACACAUGCAAGUCGAACGGAAAGGCCCUGCUUUUGUGGGGUGCUCGAGUGGCGAACGGGUGAGUAACACGUGAGUAACCUGCCCUUGACUUUGGGAUAACUUCAGGAAACUGGGGCUAAUACCGGAUAGGAGCUCCUGCUGCAUGGUGGGGGUUGGAAAGUUUCGGCGGUUGGGGAUGGACUCGCGGCUUAUCAGCUUGUUGGUGGGGUAGUGGCUUACCAAGGCUUUGACGGGUAGCCGGCCUGAGAGGGUGACCGGCCACAUUGGGACUGAGAUACGGCCCAGACUCCUACGGGUGGCAGCAGUGGGGAAUAUUGCACAAUGGGCGGAAGCCUGACGCAGCAACGCCGCGUGCGGGAUGACGGCCUUCGGGUUGUAAACCGCUUUCGCCUGUGACGAAGCGUGAGUGACGGUAAUGGGUAAAGAAGCACCGGCUAACUACGUG
rnacentral:rRNA from 1 species